UCAAGGUUUUGGUGGGGCCUCCAAAGAAUGGCUUUUGUGUUGGGUUCGCUACAUGGUUUAUGGUCUUUGAAGUAUUUGGAUGUGAGUGAUUGUGGUCUUUGUGAAGGGGAUAUUCCCUUUCAUAUUGGCUGCUUGUCCUCUUUAGAAGAAUUAUACCUUAGUCGAAACAAUUUUGUUAGCCUUCCGCAAGCAUUGGAUGUCUUCCUAAGCUUAUGUCACUUAGGGUGGAUGGGUGCCAGAGGCUUCAACAAUUGCCCCAUCUCCGCUUUGGAUUGGCGGCUGAUAAUGAAGGCUUCGGGCCUUUUGAAAUAUACACAGACGAUUGCACUUCCUUAAAAAUGUUGCCAAAGUUGAGCAUAAAAAAAGGAAGUUAUGUUACGUUGAGUUGUUUGAAUUGCUCUGGAUUGGUUGAGAUUGAGAAUGAUGGCUGCGAUGAUAGUAUAAUACUUCAAAUCCUCUGGAUUGCUCUGGAUUGGAGUUUCUUUAAGGUACCUGAACUGAUUCGGCAUCUUCUCCCUUUUGAAAUUUUAAUACCUGGAAGUAAAAUUCCAGAGUGGUUCAAUAAUCAAAGUGUAGGAGAUUCCUUAAUUGUGGAGAUACCUCCAUGGUUGAUGAACGAUUUUUGGAUUGCUUUUUGUGCUGUCUUUGAAAAUCCACCUCAUGACGCUUCUACCCAUUUUCAAAUUGAAUGUCGCCCAGGAGAAGGUGCCCCUGUGAAAAGUAAACCCAUUGAUAAAGGCCAUCUUGUGUCACCUCACCUUUGGGUAUCUUGUGUAUAUCAUUAUGUACUCGUCAGAGAAUGGAGUCAAAUAAUGAAGAUUUCAUUCCAUAUGUAUGACUUUUUUUCUAAGCUCUCAGACAGAAUAUAUUGCUCGGGUAUAAAGAAGUGUGGGUUCCGUUUGAUGCGCAAGCAAGACGUGAAAGGACUCGACCAAAUCAUGAUGAUGAACUACUCCAUCAACAUCAGCACAAAAGCUACUUCUCCUCACAAUUCAGCUGAUACAAGUGGAAGUGCAAGUGGAAGCUCUCACCAAAAAUCUCUCUGCCGCAAAAGCUAUGCUCUUUCCAAAUGGUUUUUAACAGAACUUGUAAAGAUUUUCUCCCUCUUUUUAACAACUGCAGUUUUUAUGAAAUCUUUCAACAAUAGCAAACAAUGGGGCUGCAUAGGACUUUUGAUUUGGUGGGUUACCACUUUGAUUUCCCACUUAGGCCUUGCACCCUCUUAUUUUUCGCUAUUGUUGAAAAGUUUAAUAAAAACUGUGAUUCCUAAAAGAGCAGCUAAAUUUUUGCGACCUUUGUUAAAAACGCCUCCUCAAAUGUAUGCACAUAAAUACUUGAAAAGCUAAUGACGGUCUUCUCACAAUUGGUAUUAGAUUUGGAGCUGAUCAAAAGUAGUUGCGUGCUUAUUGGCCAGGAUGGAAUAAGCCAACAAGAAUUUUCAAUCAUAAGCUUGGCAUUGAGAAUUGAUCAUAUCUACAACCGAUCAAUUGCUUUGUCGGGAUUCCUACUUUGUCUGCUUCACUUCAUCUCCUUGAUAGUUUGUGCAAUCUCCUUCAAUUAUGCAAUCUUCUCUUAUAUUAGCAUAUCUGAGUUUUAAAUUACCUUAUAUAACAUAAUGGAAUUCUUAGAGGUUCAUUAAACCGUCGUAUAAGUGAGCAUCGUCUGAGACGACAAUUUUUCACAGUGGUCAAUAUGUUGAGUAGAAUUGGGCAGUGCUAGUUGUAUCUUGAAA